rnacentral:rRNA from 1 species
UACGUAGGGGGCAAGCGUUGUCCGGAUUUAUUGGGCGUAAAGAGCGUGUAGGCGGCCAUACAGGUCAGCUGUGAAAACUCGAGGCUCAACCUCGAGACGUCGGUUGAAACCGUAUGGCUAGAGUCCGGAAGAGGAGAGUGGAAUUCCAGGUGUAGCGGUGAAAUGCGUAGAUAUCUGGGGGAACACCGGUGGCGAAGGCGGCAUCCUGGACCGACACUGACGCUGAGGAGCGAAAGCCAGGGGAGCAAACGGG